rnacentral:rRNA from 1 species
UACGUAGGGUGCAAGCGUUGUCCGGAAUUAUUGGGCGUAAAGAGCUCGUAGGCGGCUUGUCACGUCGGCUGUGAAAACCUGGGGCUCAACCCUGGGCCUGCAGCCGAUACGGGCAAGCUAGAAUUCGGUAGGGGAGACUGGAAUUCCUGGUGUAGCGGUGAAAUGCGCAGAUAUCAGGAGGAACACCGGUGGCGAAGGCGGGUCUCUGGGCCGAUAUUGACGCUGAGGAGCGAAAGCGUGGGGAGCGAACAGG